UCGCACUUCCUCAGACUGCUUCUCAGCGGUUUGGGCCCGAUCUGCGGCGAGGACUGGCGACGCACUCCGAGAGGCUUUUUCUGAAAUCGCACCUAUUAUGUCAUCAUAACGAGCGUACUUAAUCAGCAAUAUUCGCCAUCUUAAAAGAUAAGUUCCUGGCACUUAUCGAACUUCUCGCAGUACUUCAACUUGUUACAUAGGUAACGAAAUUGCUGUAUUUUAAACAGAUAGACAAGCAGGCAACAUUAUCGCAAGACCCCCCAUUCAACCGUCGCAUAGGAGAACAACAAACACGCCGCCUGGUCAAUACGCUCAACGAAGAACCUGUACGCUAAAUUAGUCUUCAUUCAUCUAGAGUGUUGAACUUGAACUACUCAAAAUUUGAAGUUGAGAAGGUACUUUUUCUACAAGAACGUUAUUGAAAGAGCGCCGGAAGGUUGUAGCAUAAAUGGCGCAGACGGUAACACACAGCGAAAUAGCGUCGAGAAUGGACAGAGCGUCAGGAUCCAUUUGAUAACAGAAGUCGAGUGCGCGAAGUGGCUUUUCAGCGUCGACCAGCUCCAGGAUGUCAAGGGGGUCAACGAUAUAUUGUGAGAGGGACUGUAGAAGCUG